rnacentral:rRNA from 1 species
GACGGAGGAUGCAAGCGUUCUCCGGAAUGAUUGGGCGUAAAGCGUCCGCAGGUGGCAGUUCAAGUCUGCUGUCAAAGACCGGGGCUUAACUUCGGAAAGGCAGUGGAAACUGAACAGCUAGAGUAUGGUAGGGGCAGAGGGAAUUCCUGGUGUAGCGGUGAAAUGCGUAGAGAUCAGGAAGAACAUCGGUGGCGAAGGCGGGUCUCUGGGCCGAUACUGACGCUGAGGAGCGAAAGCGUGGGGAGCGAACAGG